CAUCACUGAUAGUUGAAGCUGCCAGCAUGAUCUAGAAAUUUUCCUCCCUUUUUGAUUUACCUUUCAGGGGGAAAGAGAGACUAGAUCAUAUGACAGCUUCAUCUGUCCAUGGU
rnacentral:pre_miRNA from 1 species